AUGGCACAAUCUUGCUAUGCCGCGACAUUCCAUGGGUCCACAAGGUGCCCCUCAUGGAAACUGACAUGGAAGAGUUGGGCACCGCCGCGUGUCCGGUUCUUCCACUGGCUUGCCAACCAGGACCGAUGCUGGACGGCGACACGACUCGCGCGCCACGGCCUGCAACUGAAGGAAAUAUGCCCUAGAGGAGAAUGA
rnacentral:rRNA from 1 species